UUCGGCGCGCGACGCGAAAGGUACGGCGCGUGCGAGAUCCACGCCGACGCCCGGCGUCGCGACGCCACUUCGCACGCAACGCCGUCGCCGCCGCCGUCGUCGCCGCCACCGUCGUCGUCGUCGUCAUCGUCGUCGUCGUCGUCGUCGUCGUCGUUGUCGUCGUCGUCGUCGUUGUUGUUCAUCCGUCGUCGUCCGAUGAAUCUUUCCGUCGUCUCUUUCCCUGUCUCUGCCAUCGCCGCCGCGAGCUGUUCCGCGCGGAUUUUUUCACGCCGCCGGGGCUUCGGCGCCCGGCGACGAAGGACGCGGGCGCGGGCGCGGCAGCAAGUGCAUCUCUUUGCGGCGACGGGGCGCCCGACAUCGCGGUGUAAUCAGACACCGGCGCGAGGGGGAUGGCGCGGGAGGGAGAGACGUAGAGACGUAAACGUAAUUGGAAACAUCCGAGAGGGAGAUUGGCCACACGCUUCUGAUCCGCGCCGCGCCGCGCAGCGUGCGCGUUCCGCCCGUUUCCAUUCUCCCUUCGGGCCGUUCGCCGCAACGCGAGAGCGCUAUACAUCUCCGCUUUUUCCCGCGUCUAUCUGUUAACUUUCGCGACGGUUGGACGAACUUACGGGAAUGUGUCUCGUUUUUCCUCGGGAAAAAAAUAUUAUUCCGCGAAACUACCGACGUUACAUCGCGGCCAUUCGAAAGAUCUUUCGACGAGAUGAAAAUUCUGCUGAAAGUGCUGAAAAAUAUCGCGCCCGUCACUGAACGCCAAUCGAGAACCUAAUUAGUGCUGGAAAGCGGGACAUGGAAUAGGCACUAUAAUUACCCAAUUUUCCGGUUAUUAAUAAUUAUGUUUAUUUUUUUUGUGCGACUUCAAAGAUAUUUUAUAUUUACGCGAGAGAGCCACCUCUCACGAACGUGGAUGCUGCGAGAGAAAAGCGCUUUCUUUGUGCGACGACGUUUACAAUUACGUACGUGCGGCUUUGUAAAUGGCAGGGCGCGCGCGGCACGCAUGAUUAAGCAGAGCCCGGCGAUAAUGCGCUGCGUGCGGCUCUACGGCGUAAAGAAGGUGUAAAUACCUCCCGAUGAUUCCUCGUAGGAUCGAGGCGGAUCGCGCAAAGGGAGCCGACACGGAGGCGGCUCCUUUCUCGUCGAUAGUUUCAAUGGAGAGUUUUUCUCAUAGAGCCAAUCGUCCCCCUUCUCUCUUUCUCUCUCUCACUCUUUUCUCCUGUUCCCCUUCAUACCGAUGCUGUACGCGUGUACACGGAGAACGGAUAAAAAAGACGAGAUCUCAAAAGGUACGCGGAGCACCGCCUCUGAUGAAUGCCGCAACCAGUUGGCCACCAUGUUUUCCCUCCGCCGGUGUGUGUACGCCCUACUCUCCGAAACAUCCCCUGUGCCGCGUUUCCCUCCGUGUGCCGACUUUCCAACCCCUCGCAAAACCGCGAUUGAACCCUUGUACAUCCAGCGCGUAUACUGCGUACUGCGGCGUCCAGAGGUGAUUUUACGUGCGCUUUGUGAACGACGAAACGGGUAACUUUUGCAGUUAUCGAGCAACGCUACAGAAAUGUACACCGACAAAUUGGAUUGCCAUCAAUGAUUUUAAAGCGGGGACGAAAGAUCACCAGUAUGCAUCGCGAAAAGCUCCAUUUUGUACAUACAUAAUAACAUGAUUCAUAAAAAUUAAAUUUUUCCAAUGAAAACAGAAGAUAGAGUCGCUGACAUUGUCUGAAAAAGAGAAAGGAAAAGAGAAAAAUGAAUACCAAAAAUUAAUAUUUGAAAUAAUGAUCUGGACAAUAAAAUAAUUGAAUGAACAAUCAGACGUUCAAGCAAUCGCUUCGAUUACUUCGAUACCUACGCGAUUACAAUUGAUAUUAUAUUAUCAUGUUCAAUUGAAAAACGCCAAGUUUUGCCUGCGAAGAAAACGCUCUUCUAUUCUAUCGGUUCGCAAUACGUCGUAUUCAGCGCGUACAUACACGUAGAGGAAGGCAAAGAUGAAGGAGGAGAAGCAGAAGACGGAGGAAGAAAAAAGGAAAACGCAGGCAGGGCAAGAAGGAGAAAGCCGGCCGAUAAACAAACUGCCAAGGAUCACGGCACUUUAAUCUUCCUUUGACGGCAUCGGCCGCUCUUUGCGGCAUUGAAUGAAAAGAGAACAGGAGGGAGGCGACCCGAACCCACCCCAUUUCUCCCUCUUCCGCGCACUCGACCCCGCGACUCAUUAUGGCAACAUGCGGUAAGUAUGCUCGUGCUUAAGUCUCGGCGUACCCUUCGGGCGAGGGUUGCCCUAUAAGCAGCGUCGGUAUUGGUUACACGUAUAUACGUGCGUGUACAGAAUGCCCAUCGCAAAAAAAAGCGGUGGUCGAGGGCCCGCAACACGACGGAGGUACGUGCGCGCGUUACGGCACUGUCGAAAACCGUCGGGGACAGGGUGGAGGAGAGCAUCCCUUAUUUCGCGGCGGCUCGUUGCACGGCUCGGCGCAUCCGAAUGGUCUCCACUCCCUUGAUCCGGGAGGGGGGGAGGGAGGGGGUUCCAGGUGGUUCCUUACCCCCUCCCGCUUUCCGGACAUACUCUCAAAAAUUAGGCAUCGUGGAUACCGAGCCGAUGGUACGCGUUUCACAGCUGCGGCGCGAUGGAAACGGCCAGCAAGCUGCGCGUGUCUCCACCUUUGUCCUUCUCGUCCUGCAGUCAUCAUUGUAUUUUCUCAAUCCUAGCGGUUCGGCUAUGAAUCUAAAACAUAGAAAAAUACCCAAGAUAAUGUUAAUUCGACUAAGAACCGGUUGUUCGACCUUCGGAUAAACACUGUGAUAAUACAUGUAAUGAAUAAAUAUCUAUGGUACACACACAUCUAAUAGAGAUGUGUAGACACACAAAACAUUUGCAUCUAUUACACAUUGAGUUAUUACACGCGAAAAUGUACUAGUCCCUUUAACGUAUUGAAAUUUAAUUUGUAUAUAACACAAGUUAUAAAAGAAUCAGUGAAUAGUAAAUUAUUUACGUUACAGUAAUUAUAAUUUACACAAGCUUUAAAAAAUACUUUCAAGACGCAUUUCAUAAAAUAUUAAACAGUUCAGAGAGAAAGAAUCCUAUAAACUAGAGGUCGGAUUUUAUUCUUACUUAUUACUGGCUUUACAUAAACGAGAGAGAGAGAGAGAGAGAGCUUCCGCGAACUCAUCCACUUUCGCAGUUGGAAUAUAUUGACGAAGGCACGUAACUUUUUACGAGAACUUUCGUCGAGAUUCAAAAUUCUCUGCAACUCGCAAAUAAACCACCUUUUCAGCCUUGCUGGCUUUGCAAGCGCGGGAAAAAAAACGCGCUUGUCCGCGAACGUAACGUUUCUAUUAAACAAGCAGAAGUGUAAAUCGAACGCAUUUAGGCGUAAAUGUGGGACGCGAGUGAAUUCCAUUCUGUCUGUCGCUACUUCGAGAGUAACAAUUUAACGCUUAAGUUCUCAGACAGUGUGACCAGGUAAGGGAAGAGGAGCCGCAGCAGCGUGGUACCAGGCCCCGAAGAUAAUCCCGACGGUGAUGGCGACCGGUGCCGACGUGAUGGGACUUACCCCACCCCUCGUACGGAGUGCCAACCCCUCGAGUAAGAGGCAACGAUACCGCCGAGGUCUGAAAGGCCGCUGCGAAUAACGCGCUUACGCGCGAUCAUCCGACCGCGAGUCUCGAUGCCUAUGACAGAUCGUGCCGCGGCGUCCUUGUGAAUAUCGCGGGGACUAAAGCCUGUGCACUAAAGAGCGAAAAAGGCGGGGGGAGGGUGGGAAAGGGAGGGGGAGAGGGCUAAAUCUUUCGUGGAUGGCCAGGCGCGCGCACCGCCGGUGACAAUACGGUGUAGAUUACUUUUCAGAAUGGGCGGCGUGACGUAAACACGCUCCGGCGGUUUUCUCUUUCCGAACAAUACCCGUGUUUGCCGACACAAUUUGUCUCGGAUUUAGGUGCGUCGGCAUAAAUGCGCUGUGCCUAGAUACCUAGAUGCCGAACGAUACGCAUCAAGCUCUCCGAAAGCCUGCCCGCACUUCGCUUGCGUUGGCGAACGUUAAACUUUCCCGGUGCAUCAUUGUAGUAGCUAAAUGUGUAAAAAAAGUCAGCAUUACUCGUUUGUUGAUUAAUAUUCAGCAAUCAGAUAACAUUUGCAUUUAUUCUGCACUGUAGAAUAUAUGAAAGACACUUGUGAUACAAAUAUUGUCUAUUUUUUUAGCGUUCAUCGUUUCUAGGUAUUGAGUCGUUCUACCUACUAGCUUAGCCUUUCAGAAAUGCAGCCGUAGUUGAGCCGGUUUGGUAGCUAAAGAAACUCAUUAUACUGUGAGUAAUAUUACCUCACGCGGCAUAAUAUUAACGCGGACGUCUCAAGAACUUGGAAAAGGGUCGAGCAGCGCGUCGCGAUCGAGAUUGAUUUGAUCUACCGCCGACAGGGUGGCGGGCGAAACGAUAUGCCCUGGAUAUCGGGGCCUGAUGAAGGCUUCUCAAAUGUCGUGUUGGACUUGGACAGCGAGUAAGAGAAAAAGAGGAAG